GAUGAACGCUGGCGGCGUGCCUAAUACAUGCAAGUCGAGCGAAUGGAUUAAGAGCUUGCUCUUAUGAAGUUAGCGGCGGACGGGUGAGUAACACGUGGGUAACCUGCCCAUAAGACUGGGAUAACUCCGGGAAACCGGGGCUAAUACCGGAUAACAUUUUGAACCGCAUGGUUCGAAGUUGAAAGGCGGCUUCGUCUGUCACUUAUGGAUGGACACGCGUCUCAUUAGCUAGUUGGGGAGGUAACGGCUCACCAAGGCAACGAUGCGUAGCCGACCUGGGAGGGUGAUCGGCCACACUGGGACUGAGACACGGCCCAGACUCCUACGGGAGGCAGCAGUAGGGAAUCUUCCGCAAUGGACGAAAGUCUGACGGAGCAACGCCGCGUGAGUGAUGAAGGCUUUCGGGUCGUAAAACUCUGUUGUUAGGGAAGAACAAGUGCUAGUUGAAUAAGCUGACACCUUGACGGUACCUAACCAGAAAGCCACGGCUAACUACGUGCCAGCAGCCGCAGUAA
rnacentral:rRNA from 1 species